CCUGAUGCAGCAACGCCGCGUGAGGGACGACGGCCUUCGGGUUGUAAACCUCUUUUAGUAGGGAAGAAGCGAAAGUGACGGUACCUGCAGAAAAAGCACCGGCUAACUACGUGCCAGCAGCCGCGGUAAUACGUAGGGUGCAAGCGUUAUCCGGAAUUAUUGGGCGUAAAGAGCUCGUAGGCGGUUUGUCGCGUCUGCUGUGAAAACUGGAGGCUCAACCUCCAGCCUGCAGUGGGUACGGGCAGACUAGAGUGCGGUAGGGGAGAUUGGAAUUCCUGGUGUAGCGGUGGAAUGCGCAGAUAUCAGGAGGAACACCGAUGGCGAAGGCAGAUCUCUGGGCCGUAACUGACGCUGAGGAGCGAAAGCAUGGGGAGCGAACAGGAUUAGAUACCCUGGUAGUCCAUGCCGUAAACGUUGGGAACUAGAUGUAGGGACCAUUCCACGGUUUCUGUGUCGCAGCUAACGCAUUAAGUUCCCCGCCUGGGGAGUACGGCCGCAAGGCUAAAACUCAAAGGAAUUGACGGGGGCCCGCACAAGCGGCGGAGCAUGCGGAUUAAUUCGAUGCAACGCGAAGAACCUUACCAAGGCUUGACAUAUACCGGAAAAGUUCAGAAAUGUUCUCCCCGCAAGGUCGG
rnacentral:rRNA from 1 species